rnacentral:misc_RNA from 1 species
CCGAGUGGAGGGGCGCGAGCCCCGACCUCCCAACCCUUUGAUUUGAUCAAGACCUCGUUUUGCCUCGGGGGCGACCCGGCCUUCGGGCGUUGGGUCCCCCCGGCGGUGACCAACCUUAACCCUGCAUCAAUUGUCGUCUGAGCGAAUUGUCAAUACAAUCA